UACGUAGGGUGCAAGCGUUGUCCGGAAUUAUUGGGCGUAAAGAGCUCGUAGGCGGUUUGUCGCGUCUGCUGUGAAAUCCCGAGGCUCAACCUCGGGCCUGCAGUGGGUACGGGCAGGCUAGAGUGCGGUAGGGGAGAAUGGAACUCCUGGUGUAGCGGUGGAAUGCGCAGAUAUCAGGAGGAACACCGAUGGCGAAGGCAGGUCUCUGGGCCACUACUGACGCUGAGAAGCGAAAGCAUGGGGAGCGAACAGG
rnacentral:rRNA from 1 species